GGUAAUUCCAGCUCCAAUAGCGUAUAUUAAAGUUGUUGUGGUUAAAAAGCUCGUAGUUGAACCUUGGGCCUGGCUGGCCGGUCCGCCUCACCGCGUGUACUGGUCCGGCCGGGCCUUUCCCUCUGUGGAACCCCAUGCCCUUCACUGGGCGUGGCGGGGAAACAGGACUUUUACUUUGAAAAAAUUAGAGUGCUCCAGGCAGGCCUAUGCUCGAAUACAUUAGCAUGGAAUAAUGAAAUAGGACGCGCGGUUCUAUUUUGUUGGUUUCUAGGACCGCCGUAAUGAUUAAUAGGGACAGUCGGGGGCAUCAGUAUUCAAUGGUCAGAGGUGAAAUUCUUGGAUCCAUUGAAGACUAACUACUGCGAAAGCAUUUGUCAAGGAUGUUUUCAUUAAUCAGGAACGAAAGUUAGGGGAUCGAAGACGAUCAGAUACCGUCGUAGUCUUAACCAUAAACUAUGCCGACUAGGGAUCGGACGAUGUUAUUUUUUGACUCGUUCGGCACCUUACGAGAAAUCAAAGUGCUUGGGCUCCAGGGGAGUAUGGUCGCAAGGCUGAAACUUAAAGGAA
rnacentral:rRNA from 1 species